AAAGGCGAAAAGAACCCCGGCGAGGGGAGUGAAAAAGAACCUGAAACCGUGUACGUACAAGCAGUGGGAGCACGCUUAGGCGUGUGACUGCGUACCUUUUGUAUAAUGGGUCAGCGACUUAUAUUCUGUAGCAAGGUUAACCGAAUAGGGGAGCCGAAGGGAAACCGAGUCUUAACUGGGCGUUAAGUUGCAGGGUAUAGACCCGAAACCCGGUGAUCUAGCCAUGGGCAGGUUGAAGGUUGGGUAACACUAACUGGAGGACCGAACCGACUAAUGUUGAAAAAUUAGCGGAUGACUUGUGGCUGGGGGUGAAAGGCCAAUCAAACCGGGAGAUAGCUGGUUCUCCCCGAAAGCUAUUUAGGUAGCGCCUCGUGAAUUCAUCUCCGGGGGUAGAGCACUGUUUCGGCAAGGGGGUCAUCCCGACUUACCAACCCGAUGCAAACUGCGAAUACCGGAGAAUGUUAUCACGGGAGACACACGGCGGGUGCUAACGUCCGUCGUGAAGAGGGAAACAACCCAGACCGCCAGCUAAGGUCCCAAAGUCAUGGUUAAGUGGGAAACGAUGUGGGAAGGCCCAGACAGCCAGGAUGUUGGCUUAGAAGCAGCCAUCAUUUAAAGAAAGCGUAAUAGCUCACUGGUCGAGUCGGCCUGCGCGGAAGAUGUAACGGGGCUAAACCAUGCACCGAAGCUGCGGCAGCGACGCUGAUGCGUUGUUGGGUAGGGGAGCGUUCUGUAAGCCUGUGAAGGUGUGCUGUGAGGCAUGCUGGAGGUAUCAGAAGUGCGAAUGCUGACAUAAGUAACGAUAAAGCGGGUGAAAAGCCCGCUCGCCGGAAGACCAAGGGUUCCUGUCCAACGUUAAUCGGGGCAGGGUGAGUCGACCCCUAAGGCGAGGCCGAAAGGCGUAGUCGAUGGGAAACAGGUUAAUAUUCCUGUACUUGGUGUUACUGCGAAGGGGGGACGGAGAAGGCUAUGUUGGCCGGGCGACGGUUGUCCCGGUUUAAGCGUGUAGGCUGGUUUUCCAGGCAAAUCCGGAAAAUCAAGGCUGAGGCGUGAUGACGAGGCACUACGGUGCUGAAGCAACAAAUGCCCUGCUUCCAGGAAAAGCCUCUAAGCAUCAGGUAACAUCAAAUCGUACCCCAAACCGACACAGGUGGUCAGGUAGAGAAUACCAAGGCGCUUGAGAGAACUCGGGUGAAGGAACUAGGCAAAAUGGUGCCGUAACUUCGGGAGAAGGCACGCUGAUAUGUAGGUGAAGUCCCUCGCGGAUGGAGCUGAAAUCAGUCGAAGAUACCAGCUGGCUGCAACUGUUUAUUAAAAACACAGCACUGUGCAAACACGAAAGUGGACGUAUACGGUGUGACGCCUGCCCGGUGCCGGAAGGUUAAUUGAUGGGGUCAGCGCAAGCGAAGCUCUUGAUCGAAGCCCCGGUAAACGGCGGCCGUAACUAUAACGGUCCUAAGGUAGCGAAAUUCCUUGUCGGGUAAGUUCCGACCUGCACGAAUGGCGUAAUGAUGGCCAGGCUGUCUCCACCCGAGACUCAGUGAAAUUGAACUCGCUGUGAAGAUGCAGUGUACCCGCGGCAAGACGGAAAGACCCCGUGAACCUUUACUAUAGCUUGACACUGAACAUUGAGCCUUGAUGUGUAGGAUAGGUGGGAGGCUUUGAAGUGUGGACGCCAGUCUGCAUGGAGCCGGCCUUGAAAUACCACCCUUUAAUGUUUGAUGUUCUAACGUUGACCCGUUAUCCGGGUUGCGGACAGUGUCUGGUGGGUAGUUUGACUGGGGCGGUCUCCUCCUAAAGAGUAACGGAGGAGCACGAAGGUUGGCUAAUCCUGGUCGGACAUCAGGAGGUUAGUGCAAUGGCAUAAGCCAGCUUGACUGCGAGCGUGACGGCGCGAGCAGGUGCGAAAGCAGGUCAUAGUGAUCCGGUGGUUCUGAAUGGAAGGGCCAUCGCUCAACGGAUAAAAGGUACUCCGGGGAUAACAGGCUGAUACCGCCCAAGAGUUCAUAUCGACGGCGGUGUUUGGCACCUCGAUGUCGGCUCAUCACAUCCUGGGGCUGAAGUAGGUCCCAAGGGUAUGGCUGUUCGCCAUUUAAAGUGGUACGCGAGCUGGGUUUAGAACGUCGUGAGACAGUUCGGUCCCUAUCUGCCGUGGGCGCUGGAGAACUGAGGGGGGCUGCUCCUAGUACGAGAGGACCGGAGUGGACGCAUCACUGGUGUUCGGGUUGUCAUGCCAAUGGCACUGCCCGGUAGCUAAAUGCGGAAGAGAUAAGUGCUGAAAGCAUCUAAGCACGAAACUUGCCCCGAGAUGAGUUCUCCCUGACUCCUUGAGAGUCCUGAAGGAACGUUGAAGACGACGACGUUGAUAGGCCGGGUGUGUAAGCGCAGCGAUGCGUUGAGCUAACCGGUACUAAUGAACCGUGAGG
rnacentral:rRNA from 1 species